UCUCCACCAAUAAUAAACUUUAAUCCAACAUCGAGGUCGCAAACUUCCUCUUCGAUAAGAACUCUAAAAAAAACUACGCCGUUAUCCCUGAGGCAGUUUUUUUCUUCUUUCUGAAAAUCAGGAUCAAUAAAUCACAAAUAAAUUUUCUUAAAAAAGAAAAGUUUGUUCAAUUUUCCUAUCACCCCAACAAAAUAUUUUACUUUAAAUAUUCAACUUUAUAAAACCUAAAAUUAAAGCUUUAAUAUAAAUAUAAAACUCUACAGGGUCUUCUCGUCUUCUAUGUCUAUUUAAGCUUUUUAACUUAAAAAUAAAAUUCUAAUAAAUUUUCCCAGAGACAGUUACUCUUUCAUCAAACCUUUCAUUCAAGCUUUCAAUAAAAAAACUAGUGAUUAUGCUACCUUUGCACGGUCAGUAUACCGCGGCCAUUAAAUAACUCAUUGGGCAGGUCAGACCUAAAAUUAUACUCUACAGGCCAUGUUUU
rnacentral:rRNA from 1 species